GCUUAGCUGUCUCCUCUUCCAAGUCAAUGAAAUUGAUCUGCCCGUGCAGAAGCGGACAUAAGUACAUAAGACGAGAAGACCCUAUGGAGCUUUAGACACCCGGCAGAUCACGUCAAAAACCUUGAACUAACAAGUAAAAACGCAGUGACCCCUAGCCCAUAUGUCUUUGGUUGGGGCGACCACGGGGGAAAAUAAAGCCCCCAUGUGGACUGGGGGCACUGCCCCCACAGCCGAGAGCUACAGCUCUAAGCACCAGAAUUUCUGACCAAAAAUGAUCCGGCAAACGCCGAUCAACGGACCGAGUUACCCUAGGGAUAA
rnacentral:rRNA from 1 species